GAAGCGGCAACAGCUCAAAUUUGAAAUCUGGCCUCGGCCCGAGUUGUAAUUUGUAGAGGAUGCUUUUGGCGCGGCGCCUUCCGAGUUCCCUGGAACGGGACGCCAGAGAGGGUGAGAGCCCCGUACGGUUGGAUGCCAAGCCUCUGUAAAGCUCCUUCGACGAGUCGAGUAGUUUGGGAAUGCUGCUCAAAAUGGGAGGUAAAUGCCUUCUAAAGCUAAAUACUGGCCAGAGACCGAUAGCGCACAAGUAGAGUGAUCGAAAGAUGAAAAGCACUUUGAAAAGAGGGUUAAAUAGCACGUGAAAUUGUUGAAAGGGAAGCGCUCAUGACCAGACGUGUGCCUCGUGAAUCAUCCGGCGUUCUCGCCGGUGCACUUCGCCUGGCACAGGCCAGCAUCGGUUUUCCCAGGGGGAUAAAAGCCGCGGGAACGUAGCUCUUCCGGGAGUGUUAUAGCCCGUGGCACAAUGCCCUUGGGGGGACCGAGGCCCGCGCUCCGCAAGGAUGCUGGCGUAAUGGUCAUCAGCGACCCGUCUUGAAACACGGACCAAGGAGUCAAGCAUUAGGGCGAGUGUUUGGGUGUCAAACCCGCACGCGAAAUGAAAGUGAACGCAGGUGAGAGCUUCGGCGCAUCAUCGACCGAUCCUGAUGUAUUCGGAUGGAUUUGAGUAAGAGCCUUACCGCUUGGACCCGAAAGAUGGUGAACUAUGCCUGGAUAGGGUGAAGCCAGAGGAAACUCUGGUGGAGGCUCGCAGCGGUUCUGACGUGCAAAUCGAUCGUCAAAUCUGGGCAUGGGGGCGAAAGACUAAUCGAACCAUCUAGUAGCUGGUUACCGCCGAAGUUUCCUCAGGAUAGCAGUGUUGUUUUCAGUUUAUGAGG
rnacentral:rRNA from 1 species